rnacentral:rRNA from 1 species
GACGAACGCUGGCGGCGUGCUUAACACAUGCAAGUCGAACGGAAAGGCCCUGCUUUUUUGGGGUGCUCGAGUGGCGAACGGGUGAGUAACACGUGUGUAACCUGCUCUUGACUUUGGGAUAACUUCAGGAAACUGAGGCUAAUACCGGAUCGGAUCUCCUGCUGCAUGGUGGGGGUUGGAAAGUUUCGGCGGUUGGGGAUGGACUCGCGGCUUAUCAGCUUGUUGGUGGGGUAGUGGCUUACCAAGGCUUUGACGGGUAGCCGGCCUGAGAGGGUGACCGGCCACAUUGGGACUGAGAUACGGCGCAGACUCCUACGGGAGGCAGCAGUGGGGAAUAUUGCACAAUGGGCGGAAGCCUGAUGAAGAAACGCCGCGUGCGGGAUGACGGCCUUCGGGUUGUAAACCGCUUUCGCCUGUGACGAAGCGUGAGUGACGGUAAUGGGUAAAGAAGCACCGGCUAACUACGUG